rnacentral:lncRNA from 1 species
UGUCACUGAGAGCUGCUUGUGGUGAGCUCGUGCCAGCAACAGGUGUUCAGCCUCAACUGUCAUCACAGAUUUUCAGCCUCCUUUUCGGAUUCUUGCUGAUUCUCCUUAGGCCUUACACCCAGUAAGCCCUAGGGGAAAUGGGCUGAAAACCGUUGGGAGCUCUUACCUGAGUGAGUAUCAGAGUCACCCACAGCUGUGGGGCACAGGCACUUUCUAAGUGUCUCCCCUUCCAGACAUGUGUGGAUCACCUCGGCAGGGCUCAGUGUGCUGGUGAAGGAGCUCCCAAUGGGCUCCAGAUGGAGAAACAGUGCCCUGAGUCUGCCAGCUGAGGUCAAAAUGGAGACAAGGCCGGGCGCAGUGGCUCGUGCCUGGAGUCCCAGUACUUUGGGCAGCCACGGCUGGAGGAUCACUUGUUGCCCAGGAUUACCUGGCAACAUAUCGAGACCCUGUCUCCACGAAAUAAAAACAAAAACCUGAGUGAGACUGGCCUGCGUUGCUGGAGAGGUGAAGAAUGGAGUUGGGAGGGAAAUGAGAGGCUGGACAGCUGGUGCAGCCUGAAAGUCUCUGUGCCUCUUUCAUGGACUCUUUGCUUCCUGUAAACCAAAAAUAAAAUUAUAAGCCCCCCACCCCCAACCAUCCGAAUGCCCUCUUUAGCCAGGGCACUCUAAGAUUUAACCUGAAAGACUGGUUGAGGCUGCGACAGGAAGAGAGGGUUGGAAAUGCCUCAUUAAACCUCUCUAGCAUUAAAGCAGACUUUCGGUCUGGCAAGAAACAUGUACAAUCUGUUCUCUCUGAAGGCUGCUACCUGGAGGCUUCAUCUGCAUGACAAAACUGUGGUCUCUACAACCUCUUAUCAAAACCCAGACAUUCCUUUCUAUUGAUUCCAGCUCUUUAGAUAAACUCUUUCAACUAAUUGCCAAUCAGAGAAAGUUUAAAUCUACCUAUAACCUGGAAGCCCCCGUCCCCACCUUCAAGUUGUCCUACCUUUCUGGACCAAACCAAUGUAAAUCUUAAAUGUAUUUGAUUGAUGUCUCAUGUCUCCCCAAAAUGUAUAAAGCCAAGCUGCACCCCACUCACCUUGGGCACAUGUUCUCAGGAUCUCCUGAUGGCUAUGUCACAGGCCAUGGCCACUUAUAUUUGGCUCAGAAUAAAUCUUUUCGAACAUUUUA